rnacentral:sRNA from 1 species
CCCACGGCUUGCGCCGUGGGCUAGCAUUUGCCGCCCCUGCGGGGCU